GGCUGGUUAGCUCAGUGGUUUGAGUGCAGUGUUGACAACAGUAGCAACACUGAGGUUGCGGGUUUGAUUCCCGCUCGGUCC
rnacentral:tRNA from 1 species